AUGAACGCUGACAGAAUGCUUAACCCCUGCAAGUCCUUGGCGAAGCUGUGCUUGCACAGCCUAGCCAAGGCGGACGGGUGAGUAACGCGUAAGGAACUUGCCCUGCAGUCAGGGAUAACAGACGGAAACGACUGAUAAGACCUGGUAAAGUCAGGCGGACUCAUGUCCAGCCUGAUGAAAAGAGAUGCUGCAGGAGAGCCUUGCGUCCUAUUAGCUUGUUGGUGGGGUAACGGCCCACCAAGGCGAUGAUAGGUAGCCGGCCUGAGAGGGUGGACGGCCACAAGGGGACUGAGAUACGGCCCUUACUCCUACGGGAGGCAGCAGUGGGGAAUAUUGGACAAUGGGGGCAACUCUGAUCCAGCAAUUCUGUGUGCACGAUGAAGGUUUUCGGAUUGUAAAGUGCUUUCAGCAGGGAAGAAAAAAAUGACGGUACCUGCAGAAGAAGCGACGGCUAAAUACGUG
rnacentral:rRNA from 1 species